CUAAAACCUGUACCUGUUGUUUUUUUUUUUUUUUUUCAUUUUGGGCUCUUUUUGAGGCCGGGUUUAGUUAGGUAUUCCACGGUGGUUUUGAGUUCACUAUGCAGCCAAAACCUGCCUCAAACUCACAGAGAUCCUUCUGCUUCAGCUCUGCAGUGCUGGGACACAAGUUUUGAUAGUUGUUUCCUUUCCCUCUAAGUGACUGAACAUGGAAAAAGCCAACUGUCCCUUCAGUGCAGAACGCACGAAUAAGUGAGCUAGUGAUCAGCACAACAACACAGAUGAAUGGAAGAGGCCACCCAGUGCAUGGGGUCAUUUCCUUGACAUUCCUGCAGAGAGCACCAGAGAAACAGGAGACCAGCUGCUCCAGGGGCUGCUGCUAGGCUGAGGAGGCCCUGAAAGGAGAGCUGGCUUCCUGCUUGCUGCUGGGACCACUUUCAGUGCUUCUUAUUUGAUGCUCCUUUGACAUGUCCCUAUUUGCCUGAAAGCUUGGCCCAGAUCAUAGACCGUGGUACCUCGGCUCAUGAAUGGAAUUCUUUCAGGAUUUAGGCAAAAGAUGACACGCCAAAUGGAAAGAAUUCAGUUCGUCAACCAAGGUGGUGCUGGCCAUGGAACCUAAGCCCUGGCAUAGACUGCUCUUCCACUGAGUUAUAAGCCCAAUGUAAAUCUUGACAUAAAUGUUUGUAAAGAUAAAGAUUCAAUUUGUAGAAUGCAGAAGGCUCAUUUUCUUUUCUUUUUUUUUUUUUUUGUCUUUUUCCUUUUUAUCGGUACCGGGGAUCGAACUCACGACUGCCUGCUUGCAAGGCAAGCACUUGUGCUCCUGAGCUAAGUCCCCAGCCCUCAUUUUCUUUUUUGUCUUUUUCGUUUUUACUGGUACCAGGAGAAGGCUCAUUUUCAUAGCACCUAACUUUUUAUUCUUACAUAGUAUGAUCAAAAUAUAUGAUGAAUAUGCAAAUUUACAAAAUUAUUACAGUAAAACACACUGCCACUAUUCCCAUCACUUCUAACACCCUUU